UACAGAGGUCUCAAGCGUUGUUCGGAUUCAUUGGGCGUAAAGGGUGUGUAGGUGGCGCCGUAAGUGGGGUGUGAAAUUUCGAGGCUUAACCUCGAAACUGCAUUCCAUACUGCGGUGCUUGAGGACUGGAGAGGAGACUGGAAUUUACGGUGUAGCAGUGAAAUGCGUAGAUAUCGUAAGGAAGACCAGUGGCGAAGGCGGGUCUCUGGACAGUUCCUGACACUGAGACACGAAGGCCAGGGGAGCAAACGG
rnacentral:rRNA from 1 species